rnacentral:rRNA from 1 species
UACGAAGGGGGCUAGCGUUGCUCGGAAUCACUGGGCGUAAAGGGUGCGUAGGCGGGUCUUUAAGUCAGGGGUGAAAUCCUGGAGCUCAACUCCAGAACUGCCUUUGAUACUGAAGAUCUUGAGUCCGGGAGAGGUGAGUGGAACUGCGAGUGUAGAGGUGAAAUUCGUAGAUAUUCGCAAGAACACCAGUGGCGAAGGCGGCUCACUGGCCCGGUACUGACGCUGAGGAGCGAAAGCGUGGGGAGCAAACAGG